UACGUAGGGUGCAAGCGUUGUCCGGAAUUAUUGGGCGUAAAGAGCUCGUAGGCGGUCUGUCGCGUCUGCUGUGAAAACUCGGGGCUUAACCCCGGGCCUGCAGUGGGUACGGGCAGACUAGAGUGCGGUAGGGGAGACUGGAAUUCCUGGUGUAGCGGUGAAAUGCGCAGAUAUCAGGAGGAACACCGGUGGCGAAGGCGGGUCUCUGGGCCGUAACUGGACGCUGAGGAGCGAAAGCGUGGGGAGCGAACAGG
rnacentral:rRNA from 1 species